rnacentral:rRNA from 1 species
GAUGAACGCUGGCGGCGUGCCUAAUACAUGCAAGUCGAGCGAACGGACGAGAAGCUUGCUUCUCUGAUGUUAGCGGCGGACGGGUGAGUAACACGUGGAUAACCUACCUAUAAGACUGGGAUAACUUCGGGAAACCGGAGCUAAUACCGGAUGAUAUUUUGAACCGCAUGGUUCAAAAGUGAAAGACGGUCUUGCUGUCACUUAUAGAUGGAUCCGCGCUGCAUUAGCUAGUUGGUAAGGUAACGGCUUACCAAGGCAACGAUGCAUAGCCGACCUGAGAGGGUGAUCGGCCACACUGGAACUGAGACACGGUCCAGACUCCUACGGGAGGCAGCAGUAGGGAAUCUUCCGCAAUAGGCGAAAGCCUGACGGAGCAACGCCGCGUGAGUGAUGAAGGUCUUCGGAUCGUAAAACUCUGUUAUUAGGGAAGAACAUAUGUGUAAGUAACUGUGCACAUCUUGACGGUACCUAAUCAGAAAGCCACGGCUAACUACGUGC